CGGCGCUCUUCCUUGUAGUGCCGCCGGGACCGUUGGCGAGUGCAGGUGUGUGGGAGCCUCCGCGUUACUCGAGCUGUGGGCACUGCGAGCCGAAGAGCGGAGCACGCGGGCCGGUCAUCAUGUCGCGGUACGGGCGGUACGGAGGAGAAACCAAGGUUUAUGUCGGUAACCUGGGAACUGGUGCUGGCAAAGGAGAGUUAGAAAGGGCUUUCAGUUAUUAUGGGCCCUUAAGAACUGUAUGGAUUGCCAGAAAUCCUCCAGGAUUUGCCUUUGUGGAAUUUGAAGAUCCUAGAGAUGCAGAAGAUGCAGUUCGAGGACUGGAUGGGAAGGUGAUUUGUGGUUCUCGAGUGAGGGUUGAACUAUCUACAGGCAUGCCUCGGAGAUCUCGUUUUGAUAGGCCACCCGCCCGACGUCCCUUUGAUCCCAAUGAUAGAUGCUAUGAGUGUGGUGAAAAGGGACAUUAUGCUUAUGACUGUCAUCGCUAUAGCCGUCGAAGAAGAAGCAGGUUUCUUCGUUUGAGUCAGUCGCCUUGAUUCAGAAUGUCACGAGCCUUAUGAUAUCAUGCUGAGGCGCCUUGCAAAUCCGACAAUUAAGAUCCUCCUAGACCUUGAGGUGAUCAGCAUAAGAGGCCAGAUCCCCUCGAGUCAUCUACACCUAGCUUCACCUUAUUCUUUAAAGGGCAGAAAAUUUGAGUCGGUGAUCGCCGUUAACAGUAAAUUUGGCUUACAAUUGGGGCCCCCCCUCCGCUUUAGAAAGAGGAACACCAGAUUGACCACAUUCCCAACUAGAAAAAUCUUCUUGCGUCAAUCAAGCCUCACCUGGCUCUUUUGGCUGUCAGUUUGAUCGUCGUUAGAUUGAAGAAAACAUCUAGAUGCAGCGAUCGGCUAUAGAUACUUCUAGAUCGUCUAGAUCUACUAGACCUACUACUAGACCAUGGGCCAAAGAGGGUCGACCUGCAAACUUGCAAGGUCACGAUCUAGAUCACAUUCCCGAUCCAGGGGAAGGCGAUACUCUCGCUCACGCAGCAGGAGCCGGGGACGGAGGUCAAGAUCAGCAUCUCCUCGACGAUCAAGAUCUGUGUCUCUUCGUAGAUCAAGAUCAGCUUCACUCAGAAGAUCUAGGUCUGGUUCUAUAAAAGGAUCGAGAUCCCGAUCAAGAUCAAGAUCAAGAUCCAGGUCUCUUUCACGACCAAGAAGCAGCCGAUCAAAAUCCAGAUCUCCAUCUCCUAAAAGAAGUCGGUCCCCAUCAGGAAGUCCACGCAGAAGUGCAAGUCCUGAAAGAAUGGACUGAAGUUCUCAAGUUCACCCUUUAGGGAAAAGUUAUUUUGUUUACAUUAUUAUAAGGGAUUUGUUAUGCCUGUAAAAAUGUACCUAGGAAGGAUCUUUCAACCAUCUAUAAUCAAAAUGGAUCUGGAUUUAUUACUUUGUAAAAUUCACAGCAGUAAGAUUGUUUUUGUUGAAUGUAUUAACAUCUUAUGGUCUGAAAAUGUGGGUUUUCAUUUGACACAUUUAAAUAAAAUGUUUCUAACUAGAUUUUUGAUCUGUGUUCAAUAUUGAUACUUUUCAAUUUGGUGAACAUUGGGUGUCAAGACAUUAUUGAUCAUAUUUAUACAGAUCUGCAUUCAAAGUUUAAUGGUGUUGGUUAAGCAUCAAACAUUGUUAACUGUUCUAUACAUAACACUUGGCCAGAAUCUUAAGGGACUUUGAAAAUUCCAUUUUACCCUUGUAGUGUUGGGUAAGAUGAUCUUGAGUCCUCUAAUAGCAUGACUGCAUCAUGAUAGAUCCCUAAAUUAACUAUCCAUUUGAAGUUGGUGUUAUUAGAUACCAAACUAACAAUCUCAAAUCAGUCAAGCUGGAAGGACCACCGAUUUGUCUACUAAUGGAGCAUGACGGGAGCUAAGUAAGCAAAGCUUACUGAAGUAAAUGUGGUAUUAAGAUGUAGAAGGAAACUGGUUUCUAGAGGAUUGUUUUUAGUAGCUGUGGGGUUUUUCAGGCUAUUGGGGGGGGGUUGAUUUCUACAAUGUACUUUUGUUUCUUUGCUUUGAAAGAGCCAAUUUAUACCAAAAAAUGCAUGUUUGAGAAAUUGUCUGAAUUUGGAACUAAACAUUGUAAGCCAGCUUUGCAAAAUUGUCCAGCCCAAAUACUCUAUUCCUUUGAAUGGAUUGCCUUAUUCUGUGCAAAAACCUGUUGAUAUCCAAGCUAGAAUUUGCAGUUCCUGGCAACAUUGUUCUAUUUUGCCAAGCUGGUAUAAAGGAAAAGAUGUCAAUUGAAAACAACUGAGACUAAAGCAGUUUUGUAAACCUGACAUUAGCAGCACUUCAUGUAGCUAAGUUUUUUUGGUAGUAUCUGGUAGACCUUAGAAUGGUAUAGCCAAUAGGUUCUUAUUCUGACUUUAAAUAUAUUAAGCAAAAUAGGGCAGUAACAGCCAUUUUUUGAGUGUUUUUUGGACACGCUUUUUACUCUUAUUUCCUAGCCUUGGUGUAAAACAAGUGGCACAGGAAUCUGUCCGUUUUAAAAGGCUUUUUGAACAAAAUCAGUAUUGCAACUUGAAUACUGGUCUGCCUCAUUUGGUGAUCUGAGUGAUCAUUUGCAUUGUUUUUGGAACUUGUCAACUGGUUAAAUACAUGGUUGGUAUAAAGCUAUGUGUAUAAUUGGCAGACUUACCUGUUGCACUUGGUUAGCUUUAAUUGUUCUGUAUUAUAUAAAGAUAAGUUUGUUCAAUAAAUCUGCAGAAAUUGAACAAAUAA